rnacentral:tRNA from 1 species
GAGGGGGGCACGACUGCACCGGAUACUGCUAAUUUUCGCCACCCUGGUUAAACCCCGGGGCCCGCUCG